rnacentral:rRNA from 1 species
UACGUAGGGGGCAAGCGUUAUCCGGAUUUACUGGGUGUAAAGGGAGCGUAGGCGGCGAUGCAAGUCAGAAGUGAAAGCCCGGGGCUCAACUCCGGGACUGCUUUUGAAACUGUAUGGCUAGAUUGCAGGAGAGGCAAGUGGAAUUCCUGGUGUAGCGGUGAAAUGCGUAGAUAUCAGGAGGAACACCGGCGGCGAAGGCGGCCUGCUGGACCGUGACUGACGUUGAGGCUCGAGAGCGUGGGGAGCAAACAGG